rnacentral:rRNA from 1 species
AGUGAACGCUGGCGGUAGGCCUAACACAUGCAAGUCGAACGGCAGCACAGGAGAGCUUGCUCUCUGGGUGGCGAGUGGCGGACGGGUGAGGAAUACAUCGGAAUCUACUCUGUCGUGGGGGAUAACGUAGGGAAACUUACGCUAAUACCGCAUACGACCUACGGGUGAAAGCAGGGGACCUUCGGGCCUUGCGCGAUUGAAUGAGCCGAUGUCGGAUUAGCUAGUUGGCGGGGUAAAGGCCCACCAAGGCGACGAUCCGUAGCUGGUCUGAGAGGAUGAUCAGCCACACUGGAACUGAGACACGGGCCAGACUCCUACGGGAGGCAGCAGUGGGGAAUAUUGGACAAUGGGCGCAAGCCUGAUCCAGCCAUACCGCGUGGGUGAAGAAGGCCUUCGGGUUGUAAAGCCCUUCUGUUGGGAAAGAAAUCCAGCUGGCUAAUACCCGGUUGGGAUGACGGUGCCCAAAGAAUAAGCACCGGCUAACUUCGUGCCAGCCGCCGCAGUAA